GCCUGGGUGGCUCAGUUGGUUGGGCAUCUGACUUUGCUCAGGUCAUGAUCUCACAAUUUGUGGGUUCGAGCCCCGUGUCGGGCU
rnacentral:tRNA from 1 species